rnacentral:rRNA from 1 species
UACGUAGGCAGCGAGCGUUGUUCGGAAUUACUGGGCGUAAAGAGUGUGUAGGCGGUGCUCUAAGUUCGGUGUGAAAUCUCCUGGCUUAACUGGGAGGGUGCGCCGGAAACUGGAGUGCUCGAGCGUGGGAGAGGAAAGCGGAAUUCCUGGUGUAGCGGUGAAAUGCGUAGAUAUCAGGAGGAACACCUGUGGUGUAGACGGCUUUCUGGACCAUUGCUGACGCUGAGACACGAAAGCGUGGGUAGCAAAAAGG